rnacentral:rRNA from 1 species
GACAGAGGGUGCAAACGUUGUUCGGAAUUAUUGGGCGUAAAGAGCUCGUAGGCGGUCUGUCGCGUCUGCUGUGAAAACUCGGGGCUUAACCCCGGGCCUGCAGUGGGUACGGGCAGACUAGAGUGCGGUAGGGGAGACUGGAAUUCCUGGUGUAGCGGUGAAAUGCGCAGAUAUCAGGAGGAACACCGGUGGCGAAGGCGGGUCUCUGGGCCGUAACUGACGCUGAGGAGCGAAAGCGUGGGGAGCGAACAGG